UGAAUUUCUAACUUUCAUGCUGCUUUCACAAUACAGAGGAGAAAAUUAAACAACAAAAGACAGCUCCCACCGAGAAGUCAGGUAGGAACAAGUCAUUAUUUCCUGUUUUAGGGGGGCUGUGAGUGUACGGAGCAUUAAACACUAUUCAAAACUCUUCCAGUAUCAUACAUUUACAUUAAAAUCAGUUUUUUAUGAUAUAUUGAAAUAUGUGGCUGAAAAUAGUUUCUUAUUGCAAAUCUAACCACAAAUGCAGUUCUAACAGUCUUUCCAAUGACAAUGCUAGGUCGAGGUGUUUCAGCUCUGUGCGGGCUUUUCCUCCUGUGCCAGAGAUGGGCUAAUGGAAUGGAGUGGAGUUGUAAAUCAGAUCUCUGAAAUGAUCCAAAGUUUAUCCCCAGUAAAACUCACUGCAUUUUUUUUCAAGCUCAGAACCUUCCUGUGACAGAAUUUAUAGCACAGAGAACUGCAUUUGUAGGAAAUGAUGGAGGAGUAUGAAUCACCAGGUGGUUUAGGGACUUGAAUGCAUCUCAAUCUGGCUUUCUCAUGGAAAAACUGGUUUUGGAAAUAACUUAUAGGUCUUUGGGUCCUUGUAGAUUUUGUGAUAAUAAUGGUUCAAGUAAUGUUAACUUAUAUAGAAGCCCUGGAGUGUCAUUCAAGUAUUUAGAACAUUCUCGUAAUUUCUCACAGAUUACACAAAGUUUUUUGACUUUAACUAGAUAUCAACUUGUAGAUUUCUCCUAGGAGUAUUCUUUACCUCAAAAUCAAUGAAAAGUUGCCAAAUCUCAGGCAGUUAUAUAAAAUCAACAGAUUUUAAUUUGGUAUGAUGUUGAUGAUGGUUGUAGUGAUAAUGAUGAAUUUUCUCAAUAAAAUAAAAUGCUGUUUUACUUUAAGCUGAAUAGUGCAAUUUGCCACCUCAUUUGAUAUGUGGUUUUCCUUCACUUCAGUAUCAGAAUUGAUUCUAUACUGAAUAGUAUCAUUCUGUCUCUAAUUGUAAACGUUCAUGUAAUUUCUUGGUUAUAUUGUUUUCUAUAAGAACUCACAUGAUAAUCUACCAUUUUUCUAUGAAGUGAUGUUUUGUAGCACUGUUUAACCAGGAAAGUUUUCAUCGUUUUUAUCUAACCAUAAACUGCUGUAGCUUGUUCGAAACUAUAAACUAUGUUUCUGUUAAUAGAGUUGCAGAAAUGCCCUCAAUAUAUUUCUAACCUGAAUGUUUUAUGAAUUAGCAAUGGGCAAACAAGUAGGUUGUGGCAUUAUUUCAGCAAGAGCAAGAGGGACUUGCAAAGGUCUACAUAUGUUAAGGACUAUCUCCAUUUAGCAGCGUGAAUGCUAUGCAUGUUUACCUGAGUGGGGAAAGCUAAGAAGAAAUGAGAAUCAUGAUAUGAUAAGAAUAUUUGAAUAUUAAAAUGACAAAGAAAUCUUAUAUCUAAAUGUUACAGUUCAUCUUCUUUUGUCUUCUGUAGUCCAGGCAAAGCCAGCAAGUACGUGGUACCUACCUUGAUCAGAAAAAUUCCUGUAAUAUAGCUGAAUAUGUGUGAAUACAUGGAAGAUUUCCCUUAAUAGUUCAUUGCUUUGCUUUAAAUUGUAGUGCAUUUAUCCACCCUACCUUCCUUCCCCCAUGUCUUCCAGUACUUUCAUUUAACAUAUUGUCUUGUCAUUGCUAUUUCCUAGUCCAAUAAUACCAAUAUUAAUGUAGCAGUGAUAAGCUUUUUAAAUUUCAUCAUUAAGAAUUAAAUGUGUUUAAUUAAUACUACUGAUUAAGAAAAAAAUGACUGCAUUGUUUUCCUACUCAUAUUAAUACAAUAUUUCUAAUGCAACUAAAUCUAGCAUUUUUUUUAGUCAAGAACUGAAAAGCCUAUGCACUAACAUAGUAUGCAGCCUGCAUGUUAAAUUUCUGUAUCCUUCAUACCUUCAGCAUGCAAAUAUAAACUGCAAAAGUUAAAAAAACAAACAAACAACAACAAAAAAAAGAACAGUUGUGUUCCCAUAUACUUCCACUCCCAAGAAAAGCCUAAAAUUUGGAAAAAUACCACUCUCUGUAGACAUAAUUUUUAAUUCACACCUCAUAAAAUUUGAAAUUCCCUAUCUUGUCAAAAUCUCAGCAUUUCCUGGAAUAUAUGUUCACCUGAAAUCACAGUUGCUAGGUGUUCAAUUAUUCAUCAAGUGGCAGAAGGACUGAAGCACAUUGCUGUUUUUUCAGGGGCUACUCAUAUUUUAAACAUUUUCACUUUACAACCCUCACUGCAUCCUACUUGUUGCUCAGAAAGUAACCAAGAUUCAAGGCUAUCAUAAUAGCCCAUUGGUUCCUCAAUUCUAAAAAUAUACCCUAUUUUCAUACAUUCAGCUUAGCUGCUACUAUGCUACAAAAUCUGGUUUGUUGGUGUUGUUUUUUUUCAAAUUCCUUUUAAACAGAUGUGGUUUUGAUACAGAUUACAUAGUGUUAGACCCUUUUUUAAUCCUUCCUAUUUCUAGCAAUCUACCAUCAAAUCUCAUUAUUUUCUAUAAUAAUUAUGAAAUAAAAAAAAGAGGAAAAAAUGCAUGGCCUGCAAAGCAGUGCGAGUUCUCUAAUUUUCCACACUGAAAUAUGAUUUAUUCAUACAAAAUAAGACUUCUUCAAGGCUUUGGGAAUUCAGCUGUAUUAUUUCUGACUCAGCAUAAAAGUUGAGCAGAUGGUUGCUGGGUUUGAUUUGUACUCUCCUUUCAAAUAACAAGGAUGGAGAGUGGAUGUAAAUUUCACUUUAGAAAUUGAGGGGAAUCCCUUUCUAAACUGACUUCUUCCUUAAUAUGUGUGCAUACCUCCCACUAAAAUUAAUUGCAGCAAUUUAUGUGAAGCCAUGUGCAACACUACUGAAGUUCAUAAUUUUGUAGCAGAUUCAUUAGAGAAUGAUCUGUUAGCAGCUAGUCAUCUGGCUUCUUUCCAAAGUAACUGCAUGAAGCAAUAGAAAAUUUACUUUUAUUCCUGAAAAGUAUACAUGCAGUCCUUCUUAGUUAAAAAAAAAAAAUGACUUACACAAGAUAACUUAGAAACAUGGCAAUUUUGUUAUGCUGUUUCUUUUGUCUAGAGCAUGAAGCAGUCAGGCAUGAAAAAGAUGUUCCAUCUACAAAGCCAGGUAGGCACUCCUGCAUUUUAUGUGAUCAUUACUUUUGAAACUAAAUAGGAAAAUACAAUUCCAUAUGACAACUGUCAGAAUGAACAAAAUCAUGGUCUUGUGAACUAUUUUGCAUCAUCAGAUGGCCUUUAUAUGUCAUACCAUAGCUGACCUAGCAUGGUACUUAUUUACAAUGCUUUUGUCAUUUUCUGAAGAUAUAUAUACAUAUCUCAAAGGUCAAAUUUCUUCAUUUGUAAUUUCACUGGCAUCAAAGAAGCUAUGCUGAUGAAGAAUUUGAACUAUUGUUUUAAGAUGUUUAGUUUAAAUGACUUCAUUUUGCAAAUUAUUUUUUGGUAUCUGCCAUUUAGUUGGACUUUACAGCCUUCCUGCAUGAAUUAAUUUCUCAGGAACAUCAGCAAUUUAAUUUUCCUUCAUAGCAAGAUGUUCGAGUCAUGUCAGUUCAUGACCUGGCAACAACCAUGGUUCACAGUAACUGUCUCUGCAUAUCAUAAUUCCUUUGCAACCUCUCUUGCAUAAGACAGAGCCAAAUUACUGCAGUUAUAGGAACUUGCGUAGUUCAGUUUUGCUCUGAAGCAGUCACCAAGAGUUUAACAAGCCUUCUCUGCUCUUCUCAGUGAAAGGAAAUAAGUGAAGAAAUAAAAUUUUUAUUGCUCGUAUUAUUCAUCCUUUUCUCUAGCAUAGUGAUUACCACGUGCAGAGAAAAAUAUCCCUACUAUUAUUAUCCAUCAUUAGAUUGUUUUUAAUUACAGUACAAUCACUAAAAUGUUUCAAUAUUCAGUAAAUACAAAGUACAAAUAAAGCCAUUCUCCAGCAUGAAAAUGUUAUGCUGCAUCCCACCGUUCUGACCAUUUUUCUUCUUUUUUAUUCCCAGUCAAACUGAAAACAACUGCAACCCCGAAAAAAAGAAAGACGUCUAAGGAAAAAGAAGAAAAAGCAACUGAGAAGAAACAUCUGAAAGUUGAAAAACACAAAGGAGGUCCACCAGCAAAAGAAGCUCCAAGACACCACAACCUGACAUCAGCUCCUGUCCGCUACUUUCAAUGUGUUUUCAUAAAUGGACCUAACGGAUUUGGACUGCAGCUUCCUACCAACCCCUCCUCAGACAAGGAAGAAAAGAGUCACUCAAAGAUUUCCAAGAGAAAGACAAGGAAACCAGGGCAGUAGAGAGACUGAGUCCUGUGAUUGCUCGCAUUUUGCACAUUAUCUUUUCUGCUGAGGUCCACAGUAGUCACAGUGGUACUUGUCAUUGCAAGAAUGUGAUCCACUUGGCACAUGUACCUGGAAAAGUUUCCAUGAGACACAGGCAAAGCAAACAGUAAUAAGCUGUGUUUGACAAAGGUAGAGAAGUAAAAGCACCCCAUUUCUCAUGUGGAAAGGCUGCUAACAAAGCAUUGGCCUGAUUGUGUGUGUGAGCGUGUGUGUGAUUUCCUGCCUCUUUUGCUCCUCCUUUUUUUCUUUACCUGCUCAGCAUUAAAGUCAGUCUGUUUUUCAUUUAUUCUUAACUAGGGAGUGAGAGGUUGAACAUAGCUUUUAUAUCAGCAAGAUUGCAAGACUACCUGCAAUUCUAAAUCACUUCUUCGUAAAGUUCAAUCAAAUUGCUGACAGGAGAAAGCCUCACUAAAUCAUGAAAAUGUGCCCUGCAACUGGUGCUAUUUUUAUGUCUCAUUGACCAGUGUGGUUUGAAGUUCACAAUUGCUAUCAGCAGCUCAGCAUACUACCAGUAAGUUGAUUCUUCAAGUCAUGCUAAUGAUGAAUAUUUCUGUUUAGCCUGAAGCAGUUAAAGACACUGUGUGUUUGACCUGCCUGCUGGCAAAAUACAAAUAGUUCACGUUAUAAAGCCCAAAUUGAGAAGAGAAAGUAAAACAACAUGGCAAAGGUGAGAAAAAUCGAUGUUUUAUCAACAUGAAGAUCCCAAGAAACAAGCAAAACAAAACAAAAAUUUUUCCUGUGGGCAAAUCCGAUCAAUUUGCAGCAAAAACCAUGAAAAUUGAGAAUAUACCAGCCAAUCAUUUGCUAUUAGCAUAAGAUGAAAAGCUGUGAUGUAUGAUGCUGGUCACAACAUGAAACCAAUCCAAAUACCCAGUGGUAUACAUGCCAGUUUGUUACAGUGUAAACUGCUAUGCGUUUUCUCAAGCGUCUGUAUGUUUGCAUUUAAUAUGAAAGGUACGGCAGUGAUCUUAGAGACAUAGCUACCAGCUGAAGGAGUAUGAUGCUCAUUGUACAACUGGAUACUUGCAGAAUCUGAUCACACCUGUAACAAUCCAUUGCUCUAUUUUCUGCGUAAUUCUAGGCAAUAUCACUGCUUUACCCCAUUCUCUCUGCCUGCCAACCCAUUCAUAUCCAAAUUAAAUAAUUGACUCACAUGUGUUUCAGACAACUGAAUCUCUGACAAACUCAUGCAAUUCAGAUCGCUUUGUUGUUGCGCAGCUGAGUCAAGUUGACACUGAUUAUUGAUCAUGGCCUCAUGUAGACUGAGAUGCAGUCCCAUAUUGUAUAUGUCCUUUGCUGUAAAAUCUGUGAUUGCAACAAGCAGCUUAGACAGUGGUUUCUGAAAAGAGGUAGGAACAUUCUCUAUGAGUAGCUCUUCCCACACUGGAGCACAUGGCAGACAAAAAAGUUCAGGCCUCCGCUGUUACCUGUGAAAUCAGUUUUGCAGAUGUACAGGGAUAUAGAGCUGUUGGCAGAGAAUAUUUCAUGAUAAAAUGUCACUUGUUAAUUUUCUUUCAGUAGGCCUUUUUAUAUUUCCAGUGUUGCUUUGUUUUGGUGUUUUUUUCCCCCAGUUUAUGAUUAUGUGUAUAAUACUAUGGAUGUUAGUGCCCUCGGCUUUUAUUGUGAAAGCUGUCUUAAAAUAAGACUAUAACUUUCCAGAAAUCAUUUAAUUUAGUUUAGGACUUUAUCCAACUUCAAUAUUUUACUGCACUAUAAGCCUUCAUUCUUUUCAACUUCUUUUACCACAUUCAAUUCCAUACACUAUGAUUAGCCAUAACACUUUUUCUCAUUUGAGUUGAGAGAUGGCAAGGUUAUGUUUCAUGUAUCAUUCCCAUAAUGUCUCAGCUAUACAUCUGAGUGCUCUGUAAACAGAAAUACUGAAUAUCACUGAAAAAGUAAUAUAAAAUAAGCUAUUUAUUUUUCUUCCCUAAUAUCAAUCUGAUUUCCUCUAAGAACAGAGGAAACGUUUGCGCUCCCAAAAUGGCAAGCAUUUUUCUCUUUAAAUUCAACUGGAACCUUAAAAAGUAUUAUGUGAAUUGCAUGGCUUUAGUCAAAUUAGCCUGAAGUAUUUCAAAAUCAUAUGCUGAUUGUUAUCUGUUUUGAGAAAUAAAGAAUAUGUACUCUGUUUCUGUGACUCUAAGAUUGUUUUUGUGAAUGCAAAAGUGGAAGGUAAGGGUUCAUGUAUGUAAACUUUUUAUCCCUAAGUAAUUACAAAUCCUAUAAAUAUGAAGAUGGCAUUUCUUACAGCUAAUUCUGGAAAAUGAAUUGUUGUGCAUUUUAUUCAUCCCAAUGGGCUUUUUGCAAUACUUAUCUUAACUAGUCUUUCCACACACGUUUUUUAUGGAUUACAGUCUGACAGUUAAGUUGCAAAUUGUUUGCAGCCAUUCAAGACAGAGCUUCAUUUGGUAUCAACCUAUGUUCAUCAAGAUACUUAUUUAAACUAUUAUUGUAAAACUAGAAAAAAAGAAAGAAAAAGAAAAAGAAAAAGAAAAAGAAAAAGAAAAAAAAAAAGAAAAAGAAAAAGAAAAAGAAAAAGAAAAAGAAAAAGAAAAAGAAAAAAGAAAGAAGAAGAAAAAGAAAAAGAAAAAGAAAAAGAAAAAGAAAAAGAAAAAGAAAAAGAAAAAGAAAAAGAAAAAGAAAAAGAAAGAAAAAGAAAAAGAAAAAGAAAAAGAAAAAGAAAAAGAAAAAGAAAGAGAAAAAGAAAAAAGGAAGGAAGAAAGGAAGAAAAAUGCUUUCUUCUGUAACUCAUCUCAGGUCAAGAUGAUCUUGAUGACCAAGAAACAGAGAGGCAAAAAAUUGAGAUAUUUUUUAACACUGUAAGAACUAUGGCUUGUCUAUACUAGCAAUUGCUAAAACCUAGGAGGUGAUGCAAGAGGCAGACUAUGGCCUGAAGGCAGCAUGACUAACUGCACAUCCAGGUUUGAAGCCUCUCUGCCCUAUGGAGUUUGGUGAGUCUUUGCACACAGGAGGUUUAUGCAGGUUAAUCAACACUUCAUGAGAUGAAACUCCUCUCCCAGUUCACCUUUCCCUGAGAUGCUAAAAUUCUGCUGAAGUAAACAGGAACAGCAAGGCUUCAUCAUGGCUUGCAGAAGCCCAGUAGAUACAUUUUACAUUGCUCAGCCAACAGCAAGGUGCCCACCCCAGAGCUGCCUGCUCCUGGUAGUGCUGUUCACUUAUCUCAUCUUCAACCCUCUGACCACAUUCAGUGUUUUACACUCUUACCUCUGUCGCAGCUGGAGUCUGAUUUCAGCCUUUUACAGCUUCUAGAGUUAGUUAAUUCUCGUCCCCUUUCCAGCAAUCUGUGGGUUUUCACAGUGGUUCAUUUCUAAUUGAUCAGGGAGGGGUGGUUGAGACUCUGGAAAAGGGGGAGGAAACGUUUUGUCUGAAUGUUUGCCUUUCUGUUUCCUACAACCCAAUUAUUAAUGACAUUUUUUGUUUUAAUUGGCAAUAAAGUUAACUUUCGCAAAACUAUGCCUGCUUUGUUCAUGGUGGUAAUUAGCAAGCAAGCUCCCUGAGCUCCUUCUAUCCAUGAACCUUCUCAUUUCUGUUCUUCCAAUUUUCUUCCCCUAUUCUGCUGAGGCAGUUAGCAAACAUCUAGGUAGGAGUUUGGCUGUUAGCAAAAGGUAGCACACCACAGCUGGUUGUUACACAAAUCUAUACACAUCCUACUCCUACUUAUUAUGCAGAAUGCCAACAAGUUGCUAUUUGUUCCAUGUUUAGGUUUUCCACUUAGAACUCAAGACAGAACAUACUUAAUUUGUAUAUCACUGUGAAGAUUUCUCCUGUUGAUCCUAGAAAUACCCUAGCUUUCUCUCUACACUGCCACUUACAACUUAGUAUGGUCCAGCUUAGAUGCAAAAUUCCCUGCAGAAAUGUUAUAUGAAAUUUUGCUUUAAUGCAGCAGAAGAGAACAAAAGUGCAGUAAGCCCACUUGCAGGGGAUGUCUUUAUCUGCCAGAGCAUAAACACUCAGAAGAGCAACUAAGUCUCUUCACUUUCCUAUCUUACUUAAUGCUUUAUUAUCCACUCCAGCACCCCACUGUAUAAUCCAUUUGGUAGAAUGAGAAAUGAAUGAAAGUCUUUCUCCCUUAGAGAAAGCACUUGUUUAAGCUGCUUUGGGCUUCAGAUAGAGUCAACAGCUGACUGCUCACAGUUACAUACCACCACUAGUACUUCUUAACAAGGAUACAAGAUAUUGGAAGCCAAGAAAAAAAGAUAAAGGAAUGUGAGUACUAAUGGGAGAAGGAGAAUGUGAAAGUUUGAAGGGCUGAUACCUGAAAAAAAAAAAAAAGAGGAAAUGCCUUGUGAGAAUUCCCACAAAUGAACCUCCUAUGGUUAUGAAUAUUCAUAAAAGAAGAAUAAUAUAUUGGAGAUGAAUCUAUUUCUCCUAUCUUGUAGUUUUCCAGAAGUAAGAAACAGAAAGGUAAAUUAAAAUAUGAUUUAUAUAUUAUUUAUAUGACUGAAAAGGUCAGAUAUCCAGCUUUCAUAUCACCCAUUUGUCCUGACUAAAGUUCUCCAAAAAUUCCCAAUUAACCAAAGAGAUAAGGAAUCAUAUUAUUUACUUGUGAGCAAAGCAUCCCUGUGCAGAGUGUGCUUCUUAAUGUAGGAGCCUUUGUCUUUUAAUUAAAAAAUGAAGGAACAUGAUCCUUUGUGCUUGUUGUCUUGGUUUAUGGAAUUUUUUGUGUGUUCCUUGUUUGUAAUACAUCCUCCACACAACAAAAAUAUUUUCUUCUGUACCCGUGUCUCAAAGAUUGUAUUAGUUAUUGCUGUAAAUACUUCUCAGGAGUUUUGUCCACUGUUUUGUCUAUUAUUAAAACAGAAAUUAGUAAAAUUAUUAGAACAUGAUUUUAAUUUACUUGGUCCAAAAUCCCAGAAAUUUAAAUAAUUCAGUGAUGUGUUCAUUGUGCAUGCAGGGAAAGGAGGUUCUGUUUUACCAAUACACACAGAUAAAAUUUGUUUACAGCUCUGAGCCUGCUACUUUGUAUAGAUUGCUUAUUCUCAAAGGGAGAAAUACAUCCUUGUUUAGAUGACCACUGUGACUCCUAUGUUCUCUUUUUGUUCUUGCUCUCCGUUAAGAAAAUCCCAAGUAGUCUCAUUUUCUAGAACUGAAAGGAUAUUUUUAUACAAGAUACUUUUCAUUUUUAUAAGUUUUCUCAUUUAUUUUGAGGUCAAAUUUACUCAGAAAUACAGUUGUUCUCCUAUCUACUGCAUGGUAAGUUCUAGCUUGGAGAAAAAGCAGUAAUUGUCUGAAAUCAAAUCACCAAAGAGAAAAAUUGUAAUUAUUGCAAAAGUUAGACAGAAACACUUCAGCAACUUCUUUAUUCCACUGUGGGGCACUACAGUAUGAAGGUUUUCUUUUUUAGGACCUCUUAAGGAAAUGGGAAAAGAAAGUUGCUGACAUUAACAAUCAAACACACUUUCUAGCUACAAGAUAGAAAUAUAAAUGAUAGUGCAACCCACCUUCCUUGCUUUUUUUUCUUUCAGAAGCAAUGCAAAGAGGGAGCCUUGAGUACCAUGCUGUUAAAUUACA
ensembl:lncRNA